rnacentral:lncRNA from 1 species
CAGAGAUGCUACUUUUAUAGAAAGUAUUAUUUAAGUGUCCUUGCUUGGGUACUAGGGAGUGUUACACAAUGGUUCACUGGCACUAAGCUCACCAUACUUAUGUUGGGGAGCAAGACCUGAUAGCCAGCCUUUACAUGGGAGUAUAAUUCUGUCCUCCAUCUCAUAAGCCCCAGUACCUGAGCCAGAAUGAUUAUAACCAACCACACUGUCUCUUUAUCAUGGAUGGCUUUAGCAGUAGGUUAUUUUCAUCAUUGCCAUUUGUAGCUCUACAGUGGUUUAUAGUAAUUUCUCAUCUUUUAAGUCUCUCCCUCAGUGCCUGUUGUUAUCAAACUCAUUGCUCUCUCAGGCAGUUGAGCUCUGCAUUUCUCCCUUAUGGGGAGAGCUGUGUUGGAGAGAGAGAAUAUAACUUCAAAUGAAAAUAAAGAAAAACAGAAUUUCUUGAUUUUGAGGUGAGAAUUUGAGGGCACUGCCUCUGUCAGUUCCUAUCACAGAUUCUGGCACAUAGUAGGUUCUCAGUUAGUAAAUUGUGGUGGAGAGAGAGAGCCAGAGGAAACAGCAGGCUUGCUCAGCCAUUAAAGAAAACAGCAACAGUCAAUAUUAUGUGCUCAACUAUAUAAGUAAGACCUUGUGAGUGCUGUAGAGGUUAAAAGACAUAAUAGAUGGUGUCUACCCUUGAGGGUCUUGCUCUGUUGUUGGGAAAGAGGAUUACAUCUAACAAUUAACAAUAAUGAGAUAACAUGCUGAGCAUCAGAUAAGAGCUUUACAUUGAGUUAAUCUCAGUUUCAUUUCCAUUAAAAUCUGGUUUUCUUAACAGGUAGAUGUUGAAACCAAAUAUAAUAGUUCCCUUAUGGCAGGGAACAUGAUUCUUAAGGAUAAAGGCUCUCAUAGCAUUUAUACUUUUAUGUACACACAUUUAUAUAUUAUACUUAAUAUAUGAGGUUUUAUAUAUAUUUGUGUGAUUAUUAAAUGACUGUCUGCUGGCACUACACUACAAUAAGUACCGUGAAGGCAGGGAGAAUGUCUCCUUUUGGUUAUAUUUCUUCCCUCAGUGCCUGCACAUAGUAGGGAGCAUAGUGAAUAUUUAUUAACUGAGGGGAGGAAUCCCCCAUCAACCUGGCCACAUUAUUUUGGGAGAUGGCUCAUUCCUGUUGAUGCGUUUAAGGCUGACAGUUCAUUCGGUAACCUAUGUCUAUAGCAUAUCUGAGCUGCUAGAGGGAUUGUCGUUUAAAUGAAAUGUAAACUAUAGCCCUAUCCACUUCUCCUCAUUACUCAUUAAGGUUAUAUUAGCUAGUCAGACUCCAACUUGGGCAAUUAUCUUUUUAAAGUUUCUACAUCUUAAAUUGUUGCCCAUAGUUGCCCAAGUCUCCCUUAGGCUCCAGGCUCAGCAAUUGUAAAUGCAUUUAAUUUCUUAUAAAUUAUUUGCAUGCUGCUGAAAACCUCCAAGGGCUUUUCAUUGCCCAUUUAGGUAAGGACUGGUAUUCCAUGUUCUGUAAAUAAGAUACCCAGCUUACCUACCUGCUUUUUCGCCUCCUUCCUGACAUUAACCUUCCAGUUACUAUACACCCUUGUAUUAGUCCCAAGUCAUGUCUUACAUGGAUGGCAGCAGGCAAAGAGAGAGAGCUUGUGCAGGGAAACUCCUGUUUUUAAAACCAUCAGAUCUUGCAAGACUUAUUCACUAUCACGAGAACAGCAUGGGAAAGACCUGUCCCCGUGAUUCAAUUACCUCCCACCGAGUUCCUGCCACAACACAUGGGAAUUACAAUUCAAGAUGAGAUUUGGGUGGAGACACAGCCAAACUAUAUUAUUCUGCUCCUGGCCCCUCCCAAAUCUCAUGUCCUCACAUUUCAAAACCAAUCGUGCCUUGUCUUAACUCAUUUCAGCAUUAACUCAGAAGUCCACAGUGCAAAGUCUCAUCUGGGACAAGACAAGUCCUUUCUGCCUAUGAGCCUGUAAAAUCAAAAGCAAGUUAGUUACUUCCUAGAUAGAGUGGGGGUACAGGCAUUGGAUAAACACAGCCAUUCCAAAUGGGAGAAAUCGGUCAAAAAAAGGGGCUACAGGCCUCAUGCAAGUCCAAAAUCCAGCAGGGCAGUCAAAUCUAAAAGCCCUGUAAUGAUCUCCUUUGACUCCAUGUCUCACAUAGAGGUCAUGCUGAUACAAAAGGUGGGUUCCUUUGGUCUUGCAUAGCUCUACCCUUGUGGCUUUGCAAGGUACAGCCUCCUUCCUGGCUGCUUUCACAGGCUGGCAUUGAGUGUCUGCAGCUUUUCCAGGUGCACAGUGCAAGAUGUCAGUCAGUGGAUCUACCAUUCUGGGGUCUGCAGGAUGGUGGCACUCUUCUCACAGCUCCACUAGAGAGGGCCCCAGUAGAGACUGUGUGGGGGCUCUGACCCCACAUUUCCUGUCUGCACUGCCGUAGCAGAGGUCCUCCAUGAGGGCCCUGUCCCUUCAGCAAACUUCUCCCUGGACAUACAGGUGUUUCCAUACUCCAUCCUCUGAAAUCUAGGCAGAGGUUCCCAAACCCCAAUUCUUGACUUCUGUUCACUCCCAGGCUCAAUACCAUGAGGAAGCUGCCAAGGCUUGGGGCUGGCACCCCUGGGCCCAGCCCACAAGACCAGUUUUUCCUCCUAGGCCUCUGGGUCUGUGAUGGGAACAGCUGCUGUGAAGAUCUCUGACAUGCCCUGGAGACAUUUUCCCCAUUGUCUUGGGGAUUAACAUUCGGCUUCUCAUUACUUAUGCAAAUCUCUGCAGCUGGCUUGAAUUUCUUCUCAGAAAAUGGGAUUUUCUUUUCUAUCACAUUGUCAGGCUACAAAUUUUCUGAACUUUUAUGCUCUGCUUCUCUUAUAAAACUGAAUGCCUUUUACAGCACCCAAGUCACCUCUUGAAUGCUUUGCUGCUUAGAAAUUUCUUCCUCCAGAUACCCUAAAUCAUCUCUGUGAAGUUCAAAGUUCCACUUAUCUCUAGCGUAGGGGCAAAAUGCUGCCAAUCUCUUUGCUGAAACGUAACAGGAGUCACCUUUGCUCUAGUUCUCAACAAGUUCCUCAUCUCCAUCUGAGACCACCUCAGCCUGGACUUUAUUGUCCAUAUCAUUAUCAGCAUUUUGGGCAAAGCCAUUCAACAAGUCCUUAGGAAGUUUGAAACUUUCCCACAUUUUUCUGUCUUCUUCUGAGCCCUUCAAAUUGUUCCAACCUCUGCCUGUUACCUAGUUCCAAAGUUGCUUCCACAUUUUCAGGUAUCUUUUCAGCAGUGCCCUACUCUACUGGUACCAAUUUACUGCAUUUAGUCCAUUUUCAUGCUGCUGAUAAAGACAUACCUGAGACUGGGCAAUUUACAAAAGAAAGAGGUUUAAUGACUUACAGUUACAUAUGGCUGGGGAGGCCUCACAAUCAUGGUGGAAGGCAAGGAGAAGCAAGUCACGUUUUACAUGGAUGGCAGCAGGCGAAGAGAACUUGUGCAGGGAAACUGCUGUUUUUAAAACCAUCAGCUCUCACGAAAUUUAUUCCCUAUCACAAGAACAACAUGGGAAAGACCAACCCCCAUGAUUCAAUUACUGCUCACUAGGUUCCUCCCCCGACACAUGGGAAUUGUGGGAGUUAAAUUCAAGAUGAGAUUUGGGUAGGGACACAGCCAAACCAUAUCAACCCCUCUUCUGUUUGCCCAGGAAUUUCAUUCUCAGCUUAUCUGAGUGCUUUGCUUUUCUCAAGGUCCAACCCCAGCCACACUGCCCAGGUGACUUGGGGGUUCCAUAUUGAUGAGCCCUGCUCACAAGGCCUACCUGCAGCCUGUCCUCUAUUUCCUGAGUUCCCCCCUUCCCUCAGUCUCCAGCUCCUUGCCUUAGAGGCCAAUAUCAAAUACUGCCCCUCCCUUAGAACUCUCCCUUGAACCUCUGUGGCCUUUUGUGGGACCUCUCCUCAGUCUCCCUAAUUUCUGUGAUUAACUUAUCACCUAACAUUUUUCGCAUCUUGAGAUUCGGAAGGAUAGAGAUUGAUUACUAGGCCUUGCCUUUAGCAUUUUUGUUUUCUCCAACAAAAUUGCAAAAACUUUAGAAAAAUGGGAAGAAGAAAAAACAUGAAUCCCUCCUUCCUCUAACACAACUACAGCCUUCCCUUUGGCUAUGACAAAUGCUGCCCAACAGAAAUUUAGCAUGAGUCACAAUU